rnacentral:rRNA from 1 species
CCUACGGGAGGCUGCAGUGGGGAAUAUUGCACAAUGGGGGAAACCCUGAUGCAGCAACGCCGCGUGAGCGAUGAAGGCCUUCGGGUCGUAAAGCUCUGUCCUAAGGGAAGAAUACUGACGGUACCUAGGGGGGAAGCCCGGCUGACUUACGUGCAAGCAGCCGCGUAAAUACGUAGGGGGCUAGCGUUAUCCGGAAUUACUGGGCGUAAAGGGUGCGUAGGCGGCCCUUCAAGUCAGAGGUGAAAGGCUACGGCUCAACCGUAGUAAGCCUUUGAAACUGUAGGGCUUGAGUGCAGGAGAGGAGAGUGGAAUUCCCAGUGUAGCGGUGAAAUGCGUAGAUAUUGGGAGGAACACCAGUUGCGAAGGCGGCUCUCUGGACUGUAACUGACGCUGAGGCACGAAAGCGUGGGGAGCGAACAGGAUUAGAUACCCCUGUAGUC